UCAGCUGAGGGGUUAAAUUAUAUUAUCAUCAGAAUGAUGAUCGGCGCUACGCCUACGCUAUUGACAUUUAAGAUCGCGUUUGUCCCACUAAUUUGCAUUCGCGCAAACACCGCAGAGAUGAGUCAGAGACAAUUGCGCUCGAUGAUCGCGCAUGCAAGUUACACCACUGCAUCGUGGCCGAUUUACAGCCGCGAUCCAGCCGAACAUGUCAUCGCAGGAAACACGAGCCGAAUUUUUAUAGCCCAAUUUGCUUCUCGAGACGACGACGCCAAUCAAGAAGUGCUUUCGACUUCAAAAGUUAUGAGAAAAAAAAAUUAUUUUUAUAUGAAGAUGGGUUUUAAAUUGGAGCAAACUUUAAAUCGACAUGAGCGUUGACAGAUGCAACACGCUGUAUCUCACAGUGCGAUAUCUCAAGUGGUACCAGGCAGCUCCGGUUUCUCUCGAGAAGCAUAUUUCGGGAUGCAUUUCACUUUGCAGAUAAACGCCGACGGAAGCUACAGGGUAUCUCCCGAACUAGUCAAAUUUUAUUCAUCAAGGCACGCAGUCGUCAACCCAUCCCAAAUUGCAAUUCCGCGAAUUGCAGCAUUCCCAGUGUACCUUUCAAAGCAUCAGGAAUGCGCAAAUGAAUCGCCGUCAUAGUAGUUUGAACGUAACCACGUUCGGCCACCCUGUCACUCAAACGCAGAGCCCGUA